CAUUGAUCAUUCAGUUACCGACCGGAAGCAGAGCAUGUAUCAAUGCACAUGAGAAAACAAUACUCUCCUCCUAAUUAACAUGAAAGCAAGAACAGAUUAAGGGUAUACAAAAAUAUUGUUCUUAAGAAAUAAUCUUUGUAAAACCGCAGUCCGUGAAACAUCAGGAAGAAUCAGAAGAUCUCCCGAGAAAGAGAGUGGCGGAUGACUCGCCGUUAUUAUUGGGAAGUCGG